rnacentral:rRNA from 1 species
AGAAAGCCGUACCUCAGAGAAAGCCCGCCUACUACGUGCCAGCAGCCGCGGUAAUACGUAGGGGCGAGCGUUAUCCGGAAUUAUUGGGCGUAAAGGGUGCGUAGGUGGCGUGCCAAGCGUGGGGUGAAAGUCCGCAGCUCAACUGCAGGUUAGCCCCGCGAACUGGCAUGCUUGAGUGCAGGAGAGGAAAGCGGAACUCCCAGUGUAGCGGUGAAAUGCGUAGAUAUUGGGAAGAACACCGGCGGCGAAGGCGGCUUUCUGGACUGUAACUGACACUGAGGCACGAAAGCGUGGGGAGCAAACAGGAUUAGAUACCCUGGUAGUCCACGCCGUAAACGAUGAGCGCUAGGUGUCGGGGCCUAACAGCCUCGGUGCCGGAGUUAACGCAUUAAGCGCUCCGCCUGGGGAGUACGCACGCAAGUGUGAAACUCAAAGGAAUUGACGGGGACCCGCACAAGCAGCGGAGCAUGUGGUUUAAUUCGAAGCAACGCGAAGAACCUUACCAGGGCUUGACAUCCCGCCGAAGCGGGGGGUAACUCCCCCGUGCCUUCGGGCGGCGGAGACAGGUGGUGCAUGGUUGUCGUCAGCUCGUGUCGUGAGAUGUUGGGUUAAGUCCCGCAACGAGCGCAACCCUUGCCCCCAGUUGCCAUCGCGUUAUGGCGGGCACUCUGGGGGGACUGCCGGGGAUAACUCGGAGGAAGGUGGGGACGACGUCAAAUCAUCAUGCCCCUUAUGCCCUGGGCUACACACGUGCUACAAUGGCCGGCACAGCGGGAUGCGAAGCGGCGACGCGGAGCGAAUCACGAAAACCGGCCCCAGUUCGGAUCGCAGGCUGAAACCCGCCUGCGUGAAGCCGGAGUUGCUAGUAAUCGCGGAUCAGAACGCCGCGGUGAAUACGUUCCCGGGUCUUGUACACACCGCCCGUCACACCAUGGAAGUUGGGGGCGCCCGAAGUCGGCCGGCAAAUAGGCUGCCUAAGGCGAA